rnacentral:rRNA from 2 species
CAGGGAUUGCCUCAGUAACGGCGAGUGAAGCGGCAAAAGCUCAAAUUUGAAAUCUAGUACCUUCGGUGCUCGAGUUGUAAUUUGAAGAUGGCGACUUUGGGAGUGGCCUUUAUCUAUGUUCCUUGGAACAGGACGUCACAGAGGGUGAGAAUCCCGUCUGAUGAGGUGAUCCACUCCUUUGUAAAGUGCUAUCGAAGAGUCGAGUUGUUUGGGAAUGCAGCUCUAAGUGGGUGGUAAAUUCCAUCUAAAGCUAAAUAUUGGCGAGAGACCGAUAGCGAACAAGUACAGUGAUGGAAAGAUGAAAAGAACUUUGAAAAGAGAGUGAAAAAGUACGUGAAAUUGUUGAAAGGGAAGGGUAUUAGAUCAGACUUGGCGUUGUGUGAUUAUCUUCCCCUUGUGGGUUGUGCACUCGUGCUUCGCUGGGCCAGCAUCGAUUCGUGUGGCAGGAUAAUAGCAUUGGAACGUGGCUGCGCUUCUGUGUAGUGUUAUAGCCUUUGUUGAUACUGCCUAUGUGGAUCGAGGACUGCGUCUUUUGACUAGGAUGCUGGCGUAAUGAUCUAAUAUCGC